UUUGGUGAUUAUGAUAACAUAAGGGAAAAAAAUGAUGUUACCUUAUUAUUAGUGUUGUCCAAAACUGGUGCCAGAAGACUCGGUAAGACCAGAGACGCAAACGUUAGUCAUCUUAAUCAGGCGUAAAGGGUUUGUAGGCUGCUUUAAAAGUUUAUUUUUUUUUAAUAGCUCUGUAAGCGUUAUACUCUCUAAUUAUUUUUGUUUUUAGGGUAGUAUUUAAAUUUUUUAAGGAGAAAUUUGAUAGUUAAAGCAAUCCGUGUUUCAGAAAAAAAAUAAAUGAAUUAAAGCUAGAAUCAAAUUGAGGAUAAACCAAAUAAUGCUUAGAGUAGGGGUUAAAUCCACAGAUACUAAGUGGAAUACUAAAGGUGAAGACUUUUUAUCUACUAUUGAUUGACGCUGAGAAACGAAGGUGAGAAGAGGAAAUAGGAUUUGAUACCCAGGUACCUCUCACUGUCAACGAUGAAUGGUGGUUGUUAGUUUUUGUAAAAACUGGUAACGAUGUUAACACGAUAACCAUUCCGCCUUGCGAGUACGGUUGCAAAACUGAAACCAAAAAAAUUAGUCGGUCUCGAAGCAAACGAAGUGAAGCAUGUUAUUU
rnacentral:rRNA from 1 species